rnacentral:lncRNA from 1 species
ACUCUUCCUUGGAAGGCCACUCCCGUCUUUGGGAAAUGGAGAAGCCUGUUCUAAGUUCACUUGAAGCCAAAUUACAAAGGAGCAGACGGGAUCCCAGAAACAAAGAUGGCACCAGCUACGAUUUAAGAUUCCAAGAAGAUGAAUCUGGAGUGGACCAAGAUCUGGUGUAGAGACUUACACCCUGUGUCAGCCAGCUGCCUGUGACCGAGACAAACAUCUGAGAUGGGUCAAUUUAAGGAGAGGAACUGGGAGAUGGUCCGGAUGGUAAAGCACUUGCUGUGUAAGAAGGAGAGACUGCGUUCAGGUCCCCAGUACCAAGGUAAAAAGCUGGCUGCAGUGACACAGUUCUGGCUCUAGGAAGGAGGAGAACAGGUGAUCGUCCUGAUUAAGCAAGCUCCAUGCUCAGUGAGAGACGUUGCCUUAAAAAAUAAAUUGGAAAGCCAGUGAGGUGCUUUUCUCACUGCUGUGACAAAAUAUCCAACAAGAAGCAACUUAAAGGAGGAAGGGUUUAUUUGGGCUCACAGUUUGAAAAGAUACAGUCCACGGGGCAGAGAAGACAUGAAGGCAGGACUAGAAGAGAGCUGGUCACAUUGUAUCAGCAUUCAGGAAGUAGACAGAAG